rnacentral:lncRNA from 1 species
AGGCUAGAAGAACUUCUAGGAAGAAAGGUUGAUGCGAUGUUUGGUUACAAUGAAAAUGAUGCAAUUUUCGGUUGUGGCCGGUUUGCUGGAUUGAUCAGUGGUGCACAUGGAGAGCAAAUUUAUUCGGUCAGUAGGAACAAUGCUUCGUUGAUUCCGGUUACCAUGGAACAUGUUUAUACACUGCAAUAGAGUAGAAAAACACAAAUGAGAUGUAACAGUAGUUUAAAUCUUAGCAAGUAACAAAAUAGGAGUGUUUGCAAAUGGAAAUUACACGCAUGAGAGAAAGUACAAGUAUAAAAAUAAGUAAAUAUAAAAAUAUGUAACAAUAGUUCAUUAAAAGUAUUGUAAAACGUAAUUUUAGGUGCGCAUUCCUGUUGUUGUGGAUCUCAUUUACCUAUUUGGAUUUUCUUUGCAAACUUUUGAGAUAGGUACUGAUUUAAAGUGACAGUUUUCUCAAGCGCCCGCUGGCUUUGGCCGUGGAGGCGGCAACGCUGGAGGUCGCGCGGGAUACGGCCUUAAUCGUGAUACGGCCUUAAGCGUGAUACGUGGAGUAAUUCUGGAGAUAGAGAGCCGCGGAUCGGGAUAUUUACAAUGUAAUUUUCGUCAGUUUCUGCCGACACGAUUUUUUAAGGACCUUUGUACAUACAAUGGGUCUAAUUUUGAGUUUCUAAGGGUGAGGGUGACCAUUACAGGGUGGAGGAGGGGGUGGGACAUUUGGCAAUGGCGAAACAUUUUCGGGGGAGGGAUCAGAAUAAAAAUUUCUCAAAUGAUAAGAGACUUUUUUGGAGAACCCAGGAUGCCUUUACUGUCUACACAGGGAGGGGUGCCCGCUAGUCUUGUAGCAUAUACACGUGGCUUCCCUGUUUUGACAGGAAGGGGCUUGUCGUGGGCAGGAAUCCGCGGAGCUGCAAAUCUGGUUGCGUUGGUACGAUAGCUGAAUCCCUUUUGUCGUCAUAGGCACGUAUCUACUUUCCUCUCAAUUCGGGCCAAGUUUGAUAAUUGCCUAAUCCGAUUUGAUGGGCAACCGCUCCUUUCAAUUUCGCUUCCACAUGAAGAAGGAACGGCACCAAAUGGUUAGUGUAUCUGGUUACCUCGUAUUCCGCGGCUAAGUAGUCUAAGGCUCUUAAGAAUCUCGGUAAUUGUUCGAUUUUCCCGUCGAAUUGGGGAACUACUUCGAAAUCUUUGUUAUUAAACUUUCUCUCUUCAGUGUAGUCAUUUUUGUCUCUAUUCUAUUUAUCAGCUCUUUGAUUAAAUAUUAUUUCUUUGCACUAGGGCAGUGGUAGAUUGGUACUCUUCAAUUAAAUCGCGUUCUGGUUGAUCGUCAAUGUUCAUAAACUUAUAACUAAAGGAUGUUAAAGCAGAAUGGCGACAUACUUAAACAAAUAACCCUAGCGAGUGGAUGAGGAGCUUAUAUCUAAGGACAGGGUAGAGACACAAAAUAAGUCCAAAAUGAAGAAGAGAAAAGGGGAGAUAGAUCUAAAAAAAUUGUCUUGGAUUCAUUCCGAACGCCCUAUUUUUUUCGAGAUCUAUUUCUUUUUUGGCUCGUAUACCUCAUAUAUACAACGUAUCGUUCUUGAUCCAAUUUCUCCAUGAGUGUCCUGGAGUUAAUCAGAGAGACUUCUUCGAGUAAAGCAGUGAUCUUCUUUACAUAAGAAGUGCCACGUUUUCGGAACGUUAUUUAUGAACUGCUGUUCCUUCUCCUUCUUACUUCCCUUGGUGUACGUCGAAUAAAUCGCUUCUAAAAGACUCUUCACAUUCUUUGUGUCCCGAUAGGUUUCCAACGAAUACGUAUACUUAGUACUUUUUUCGAGAUCUAUUUUCUUUUUUUGGCUCGUAUACCUCAUAUAUAGAAAGUAUCGUUCAUGAUCCAAUUUCUCCAUGAGUGUCCUGGAGUUAAUCAGAGAGACCUCUUCUUGUAAAGCAGAUCCUCUUUACAUAAGAAGUGCCACGUUUUCGGAACGUUAUUUAUGAACUGCUGUUCCUUCCACUUCUUACUUCCCUUGGUGUAUGUCGUAUAAAUCGCUUCUAAAAGACUCUUCACAUUCUUUGUGUCCCGAUAGGUUUCCAACGAAUGUUAAUUGGGAAAGGAUUUAAUGAUGUGAACACCAAGAUAGUUUGUAACCGAGUGAGUAUACUUGGGAUCUCGCGUUACAGCUUUACACGGUCGCGUGCGUCAUUAGGAAUUACGUAUAGUUUCAUUGAAUUCAUCUCUGCUAGUGUCUUUCACCGCCUAUUGACGUCAAAGCUGAGAUGGAGGAAUCACUAUAACCAAUAGGCUUAGUAUUUUUUUCGAGAUCUAUUGUCUUUUUUUGGCUCGUAUAUCUCAUAUUCAAGACGUGUCGUUCUUGAUCCAAUUUCUCCGUGAGUGUCCUGGAGUUAAUCAGAGAGACCUCUUCGAGUAAAGCAGUGAUCUUCUUUACAUAAAAAGUGCCACGUUUUCGGAACGUUAUUUAUGAACUGCUGUUCCUUCUCCUUCUUACUUCCCUUGGUGUAUGUCGAAAAAAUCGCUUCUAAAAGACUCUUCACAAUCUUUGUGUCCCGAUAGGUUUCCAACGAAUGUGAAUUGGAUAGGGAUUUAAUGAUGUGAACACCAAGAUAGUUUGUAACCGAGUGAGUAUACUUGGGGAAAUCGCGUUACAGCUUUGCACGAUCGCGUGCGUCAUUAGGAAGUACGUAUAUUUUCAUUGCCUUCAUCUCCGCUAGUAUCUUUCACCGCCUAUUGACGUCAAAGCUGAGAUGGAGGAAUCACUACAACAAAUAGGCUUAGUACUUUUUUCGAGAUCUACUGUGUUUUUUUGGCUCUUAUAUCUCACAUUCAGGACGUAUCGUUCUUGAUCCAAUUUCUCCAUGAGUGUCCUGGAGUUAAUCAGAGAUACCUCCUCGUGUACAGCAGUGAUCUUCUUUACAUAAGAAGUGCCACGUUUUCAGAACGUUAUUCAUAUGAACUGCUGUUCCUUCUCCUUCUUACUUCCCUUGUUGUAUGUCGAAUAAAUUGCCUAUAAAAGACUCUUCCUAUUCUUUGCGUCUCGAAAGUUUUCCAACAAAUACGUAUACAUAGUACUUUUUUCGAGAUCUAUUUUCUUUUUUUGGCUCGUAUAUCUCAUAUUCAAAACGUGUCGUUCUUGAUCCAAUUUCUCCAUGAGUGUCCUGGAGUUAAUCAGAGAGACCUCUUCUUGUAAAGCAGAUCCUCUUACAUAAGAAGUGCCACGUUUUCGGAACGUUAUUUAUGAACUGCUGUUCCUUCUUCUUCUUACUUCCCUUGGUGUAUGUCGAAUAAAUCGCUUCUAAAAGACUCUUCACAUUCUUUGUGUCCCGAUAGGUUUCCAACGAAUGUGCAUUGGAUAGGAUUUAAUGAUGUGAACACCAAGAUAGUUUGUAACCGAGUGAGUAUACUUGGGGAAAUCGCGUUACAGCUUUGCACGAUCGCGUGCGUCAUUAGGAAGUACGUAUAUUUUCAUUGCCUUCAUCUCCGCUAGUAUCUUUCCCCGCCUAUUGACGUCAAAGCUGAGAUGGAGGAAUCACUACAACAAAUGGGCUUAGUACUUUUUUCGAGAUCUACUGUGUUUUUUUGGCUCUUAUAUCUCACAUUCAGGACGUAUCGUUCUUGAUCCAAUUUCUCCAUGAGUGUCCUGGAGUUAAUCAGAGAUACCUCCUCGUGUAAAGCAGUGAUCUUUACAUAAGAAGUGCCACGUUUUCAGAACGUUAUUCAUAUGAACUGCUGUUCCUUCUCCUUCUUACUUCCCUUGAUGUAUGUCGAAUAAAUUGCCUUUAAAGACUCUUCCUAUUCUUUGCGUCUCGAAAGUUUUCCAACAAAUACGUAUACUUAGUACUUUUUUCGAGAUCUAUUUUCUUUUUUGGCUCGUAUACCUCAUAUAUAGAACGUAUCGUUCAUGAUCCAAUUUCUCCAUGAGUGUCCUGGAGUUAAUCAGAGAGACCUCUUCUUGUGAAGCAGUGAUCUUCUUUACAUAAGAAGUGCCACGUUUCGGAACGUUAUUUAUGAACUGCUGUUCCUUCUCCUUCUUACUUCCCUUGGUGUAUGUCG